CUCGUGAGGGAUGUUUGCCACUCUGCCUGAUGACUGGUGUUUCUUUCCAAAGCCUCCUUUCUUUCCUGUUGAAUCUCCUGCAUAGUCUCCUUGAGACCUUCAGUGACAUGAAGGAGGGAUGUCAUUUCCUCCAGCAGGUAAAUGAUGAGGCGCAUGACGUCCCAUGUAUUCUCCAGCACUGGACUGAUGAUCUUCUCUCCCUUCUCUUUCUGAUGGAGCCUAACUUUUUAACAAAGCAACUUCAGGGAAGCAGUCAAGCAAGAGGUCAUCCCUGGUUCACAGCAUGUGCGCACAGCUAGGCACUGGUGUAAAUGGUUUAUCCAUUUGUUUGGGGUUUUGCCUGCUUAAUUCUGAUGUAAUACAACAAGAGGUGCUUCAUAUUAUGUUUUUGAAGAAAGUAAUAGAUCUAGGACACUGUCCAUUGAAAACUAAACAUGAAUAUUAUGUACAUUUCACCUCACAUACUGGAUGAUCUAACAAGAUCUGCAUGUUGUGUUUUAUAGGGCUUAAAUGAAUAUUCAUUUUAACAUUCAUUUGGAAAUGUCAAAUGUGGACAUAUUUCUUGGAUAGGCUACCAGUGACUCAAUCUGUUACCGUUUUUCCCCAGUUUCCUUAUGAAUACGAGGUCAACAAUGAGUUGGAGUGAUCUGUGAUCAAUGCGAAUGUUUCUGUUUGUGUGCUGCUUGUCCUUAUGUGCAGUCCUGUUGGAUGGUGCGUAAUUGCACUUCUCAAACAUCUUUGCGCUUUAAGCUGUACAGUCCUAGACAGCAAACUUUACCCAAACAUCUAGUUAUUUACCUGAUGUGCAUUUUACCCGUGGAAACUUCAGAUUAUUACAGCAAGCCGCUUUAACCAAAUGUACUAAAGAUGACGAUGAUAAUAAUUAUGAUAAUAAUAAUGAAAUUACAAAAUGGCACACCUGAGAGGGAGGACUAUUUGAUGCAAUUGUCUCGCUUCAACUUAACUUCUUCCGGAAAGAUGACAGCUGGCCUCAUUGUCGAGGCCUUAAAGCCAGUUUCGUUGUGUCUAGGCCAUGUAAUUACAUCGUCUUCUAACACUGUGAAAGAAGCAUCUGUAAAACAGUAAUAAAAGCUUCACAACCCCAUGAAAUAACUUGUUUUACUGUCAGAAUCUGGGCAAUUUGGUCCCCAUAAAAUUCUGGAAGCGUCUAGAAGAGCUGCCCGAUAACAUUUUAUCCCCAUCCACGUUAGCGUGGCGCUAAACCGGAAGUUGGCUGACUCAGUCGGCGGAAGUGCUCUAUGGCACCCCAGCUGGACACCCACCGCCACAAUUAAACUCUGAUUCGGCGGGAAACCCUGUAGCUUUAUAUAUUUACCAGACAGAUAUGGCAAUGGCAUCAAUCUACUAAUCACUUCUCGGCAAGAAACUGAACAUGUAUUUCACAAAAUGUCAAACUAUUGCUUUAAUAUAGCUGCUGACUUGGGGGCAUCAUGGUGGAAGCAGGUUUUUUUUUCUUUCUUUUAAAAAAAACAAAAACUCAUAAUCCUGAUGUUUUGUUGAACAGUUAGCUUCUUUCCUGCAUCUUCCUUCUUGUACAACCCUGACAAAAGUCACCAAAACAGUCACAUUUUGAUCGUAGAAUUGAGACCCAGCAAAAGGUUUUGGAUUUGCAAUGUAUCAGCAGUGUAUACUUGAUGCCAAAUGUCAUAUCUGUGAUGCACACUGUAGAAAGUUUGUUGAAAUGGGCAGUCUUUAAGAAAUUAUAUUUUAUUUAUUGAAAAAGUUUGGUUUUUUUUUGUUCCUCUACCACGUUCUAACUAUACUAUUCCUUCUGUCACUGUUACAGUGUUAAACAAUAAAACAAUAUAUUUUACAGUCAA